rnacentral:tRNA from 1 species
ACCUGGCUGGCUCAGUCAGUAGAGCAUAUGACUCUUGAUCUUGGGGUAGUGAGUUCAAGCCCCAUGUUGGGUG